UUUUAGAUUAUGAGCGGGGCGUAUUGGUUUCACUAUGGUGCGUUUCUAUUUUAUUAUUUGUUCUGUUUAUGAACAACUUUUUACCAGAAUUCGCGUUCCAAUCGUCCAAAACGUCCACUUCUGGGGCCGCGGUUUCAAAUGGUCACCAUGUGCAGUCGGUGCUCCGAGGAGGCCAUUUUUUGCAUUAAUCAGGAAAAACGAUCGAAUUUAUGCAAUACCUAGGGUACCCGGUUUCUGUUUAGUUAUUUUUUUUGUUUCAUUUAAAAAUAAUUAUAAAAAUUUAACCGAAUCCGUAUUAUGUUUCCAUAUCAGUCAUUUCUAAACACGGUCAAAUUUCCGCAUUAAUUCAACGUGCUGAUUGAUUUGAAUAUUAUUAUAGUAAAUACAGGAAUAAAAAUUAAAUAAUUGAACGAAUGCGUCGGCUGGAGUGUUACGAUAAGUGUAUAAUACGACCGGUUUCGAAUUAUAUAUUCACCAACACGUAUACCAUAGUCAAAAUGUAAAACGCGACUGAAUAUAAAAAAUUAGACGAAGGAAUAUAUAGAAAAAAAUUAUACAAAUUGAUCGGUUUU